GAGAGAGAGAAAGAAAGAAAGAACAAAAGAAAGAAAGAGUGGGAAUGAGGAAGUGAGUGUGGUCAAACUUUUUUCCUCCCUUGCAUUAAAGUGUACCACUGCUGUACAGGUGUGAGGCACUGACCGACGGCCACGACAUGUCAGGGCUCAGCUAAGCGAGAAAGCUGUGAACAAUGUCUAUUAUCUGAUCACAGAAAAAUGCAGGACAUGCGUGUGUUAAUCUAGGACUACUUGAGAGCUCAUAAGAAAAAGGUCAAGAGGUCAAGAGCAACACCAGUGUGAGUGUGUCUUUCUUUUCUUUCUUUUUUGUUAAAUAAAGACUUAAGUGUGUAAGGCCAUCUGUACACACAUUUGUUUUUAACAGGUUAGAUAUAAGGCCAACAAAUAAAGUUUCAUACUUUAAUUUUCUAUGCUCUGAGAUGUCAGUUUCUGCUCCUUAAAAACAACAUUGUUGGGUCCACAAUGUGUACUUACUGACUGAUAAGAAAUGGGUUCGAUAUUCACGAUGCAAGAAAAAGGUUGUCUCAAGUGCAUUUAAUUCUAAAGCCCAGUCAUUUGAAAUUGUUCAUUCUUCUCAAAUGGUACAUUUUUCAAAUUAUUCAAAUUUUGUUUUUGAAUAUUCCUCAUAUUCAUUUAAACUAGUGAGCAAAGUCUGUGAAAAGGCUCCAUACAACAAAAGGCACAGUGCCACAUAAAGUAUGAACAUGCUGGGCUAGUUUAUAUAAUAGACGUGUUAGGAGUGCCAGGCUUGUUCGAGUUCAGGACCUUUGCUCAACUGUGGUGUUUAUCAUUCAGUAAAGUUUACCCAGGGCAAGCCUCCUCCCCGCCUGAGUGAUUUUUUAUGCCUAUAACUGAUUAUUAUUUCAUGCUCCAGGGUAUUUCAGUGUCUCGCCAUCAGUCAACACACGGCACCCUGAUUAAUAUUCCGCAACCUUUCUUUAGAGCCCAGGCCUAGCGAAACUAUUCCUUUGGGUUUGUCAAGACUAGAUCCCAAGAACAUUUUAAUGGAUGUAUUCUUAGAGCCGUAUGUAGCUUCAGGGGGUGUCUGUCACAGCGCAAUAUAUACUUGCUUGACAGUUGCCAUGACUCCUGAUUUUAGCGCAGAUAUAGAUUUUUGUGUGUAUACAAGAGACUCGAUCCAAACUCAUGUAUUCUAAAGAAACUCAUAAAUCAUGCUGUUUUGCUUUGAACUAUAGAAACAGUUAUGGCACCAGUAAUGGCUGCAGAAUUCUGGGGAGCAGUGGGGCAAUCCGGGGUUCCCACCCUCUCUCUGGUCAUCCUCUUCAUCCUCAUCAUCACACUCCUGUUUCUCUGCACAAGCUGUCAGAGAGAGUCAUAUGAUUUAGAGCACAACACUCCAGAGGAAAGAAAUUCUUCAACACUUGUUAAAGUUGCCUCACUGCAAAAUGCUCGACUGGCCAUGAGUAAUCCUGUUGCUGCUGACAUCAAGAAAGAUGAAAAGGGUAAAUGAUGUGACCUCCACCCAUAAUGGGGAAUUACCCAUCAGUAUUUAAAGG